CCUUGCCGAACUCCUGCUUGAAUUUCGUGGUGUAAUGACGUUUCAGGCCAGAGUGACUUUUGCACACAACAAUCAGAUCGUGCGCUUACUGCCAAGGCUAGGGCGUCGCCACUGUCGCUUGAUAGAAACAGCAUCGAUUACGUACUCGCUGCUUUUUCGAGGCCUGUUAUUUCCUUUACCUCGCACCCGACUGUAUGCAUAGUCCUCUGCCGAGUCCGCCCACUGCCGUAUCCGUCAGUUCUUCUGCAGGAUGGGAGACAACGUCGUCGACAGGCUAUUUAGCUUCCUCGAUCGAGUCUCGCAACAGGAUCUUUUGUCCCUGGACGCCGAGAACAUAGAGUGGCUACCGAGGCUCGGCAGCCUGCUGCCAGAAACAGCCGUCCGAGAAUUCCACCACGUGCUCGCCAAUAGCGGCAGCACGGGUCAUUUCUUCCAGCGUAUCGCGUGGCUCAUGUGUUGGCUGAUGGAGCGGAACAAGAUUCGCCCAUGGCUGCUCUACCGUUUCGGUGCCUCGUUCUUGCAGGCCAACCACGCCUCGCUUCCGGAGGUCGUGGCGAGUAUACUCCAGCGUCCAGGUUACCGUAUGACGAUUCAAGUGAGGCACCGAGAAGGAACCUACUACGCCUGCAUGAUAAACGGUUACGCGUCUCCAGACAGCGUGGCCGACGUAGUUACGUGCUUGGUCUUCUGGCACGGCCAGUCCUUCGCGGCCGCGUACGUUGGCCGAUUCGACCACCAGCGCCGACUCGCGGACGCCCUGCAUAACGCCCUAAACGGCGGAACCGUGGAAAUCUUAGAAGGCCUUCACGCAGACCUCGGAGCCGCGUUUCGUACGGGAUGUCGAAACUUGAUCAGUUCAUUCAGCUAUCGUAUAGCUGUUGGCCCGCCACCCGGUGCAGAGUGUUUCGUGCCACAGCAGCAGCAUUCCAAUGUACCAGGCAGGAACCCCGACUGAUUUCUAUGACAAACGGAGACGUAGGGCGGAUGGCCGCGAUUGUUCGAGUACCGCAUCUGCAAGCAGAGAUUUGAAAUGGUACACGCAGUGCCUCACGACUGAUUUGAAGAAGGCAGCCUGAAGCGAUCCCUGGGCAAGACUUGUCAAGCGCCGGGUAAGCAUUCGAGACACGCCGGGUAACUAAUUUUCGCCACGGGUGCAAGGAUAGCCCUUGACAAGCAAAUUGCACUGGCGGACCGCUACCGGAACCACAGCAGCUUUCAUGCGGCACGACUGGAGUACGUUCUUUGUCAAGAGCUUUGAUUCGGCAUGCCAUUGUGACCGCAACUGCUGUGAUGAGGCCUUGUGCAGAAUACCGUGGAAGGUGAACUGCACGAUCCAAGCCAGACACUAGAAUUAACAGACCGGUUCCCUCCUGUGCCCUUCGAACAGCAAGACGCAAUUCAAGAGCGCUCCUGAUAAAUAUGUGGGGUUCGCGCGCGAUGUGGGUUUUAUUGACGUCGCCGCUAAGAUAAGCGGCAAAAAAUUUGUGAAUGUGACAUAAGUGACGCCAGCAUGAGUAUGCUUACUAGCUGUUUUCAUCAUUGACAAAAAAAAAAUAAAGACAAUUUUAUUACCACCUUGA